rnacentral:rRNA from 1 species
AGCGUUGUGAAGCGUUGAGCUAACAUGUACUAAUGACUCGAGAGGCUUAACCA